UACGUAGGGGGCUAGCGUUGUCCGGAAUCAUUGGGCGUAAAGAGCGUGUAGGCGGCUCGGUAAGUCCGCUGUGAAAGUCCAGGGCUCAACCCUGGAAUGCCAGUGGAAACUGUCGAGCUAGAGUCCGGAAGAGGCGAGUGGAAUUCCUGGUGUAGCGGUGAAAUGCGCAGAUAUCAGGAGGAACACCAAUGGCGAAGGCAGCUCGCUGGGACGGUACUGACGCUGAGACACGAAAGCGUGGGUAGCAAACAGG
rnacentral:rRNA from 1 species